UAAAAUGACUCUCGGCAACGGAUAUCUCGGCUCUCGCAUCGAUGAAGAACGUAGCGAAAUGCGAUACUUGGUGUGAAUUGCAGAAUCCAGUGAACCAUCGAGUCUUUGAACGCAAGUUGCGCCCGAAGCCUUCGGGCUAAGGGCACGUCUGCCUGGG
rnacentral:rRNA from 1 species